UACGGGGGGAGCAAGCGUUGUUCGGAUUUACUGGGCGUAAAGGGCGCGUAGGCGGCCAGCACAAGUCAGUUGUGAAAUCUCCGAGCUUAACUCGGAAAGGUUAACUGAUACUGUGCGGCUAGAGUGCAGAAGGGGCAACUGGAAUUCUUGGUGUAGCGGUGAAAUGCGUAGAUAUCAAGAGGAACACCAGUGGCGAAGGCGAGUCCCUGGACAGCUCCUGACACUGAGGCACGAAAGCUAGGGGAGCAAACAGG
rnacentral:rRNA from 1 species